rnacentral:lncRNA from 1 species
AGACAACUUUCGAGUUCGAUGCAUUUCCGUCAAAAACUCUGGUUUUAGUGAACGUCAUUUGUGUGUUUAGGGGCGUCGUCACUUCCAUUCCAAUGUUGAGCGAGUGGUUGGAAAACUAUAAUUCUAUAUUUUACGAAUUAUUCGGCAAAUUGAAUUCUCAAAAUUGACAAAUCAGCAUUGCUGUCAUUAGGGAAUUGUCAUUAAGUACCUACAGAACAACCAUUAUUUCUAGUUAAUCCUGCACAAUGACGAUCACUAAGACGCUUGAUGAACGUAAAUAGUGCAUGGAUACAGGCGACCCCCUCUUUCUGGUAAAUGACGUCAUAAAGGCGCGUAUAAUUGACGAGUUUUUUCCGGUGACGGAUGAACUCGAAAGUGGUCUAUUGGAUUAA